CUCACAUCUGCAAUAGUUUACUGUGGUGAUUAGUGAGACUCCUCAGGCCUUAUGAGAUCAAAUCCAGAUGUUGCUGUUUGUUCACAGCUUUGAGAGCUUGAUAGCAACAGAAUUCUGUUGGCUCUACGUGCAGACGUGCGCUCAGCUGCGUCACACAUGCGCCGCUGCAACCUGCUUUUUGGAACAGCUGACGCGCGCCGCACAGCUCUCUGGCCCUUUGAAUACUUUGGGAGAAGCAGAAGUGGGACUCUAGGGGAGGCAGUGUCGGCGCGUCAGUCCGUGGCUCCACCGCUUCAGUGCAGGCAUAAAUAUCUCAACCCGCUACUGGAAGGAUCGCCAUUACAUGUUUCAUUGGCAUUCAUGGUCGCCGGAGGAUACGUUCUAAGACACUAAGGACGUCCUUGUUUUUCCUCUGGUGCCACCAGAAGGUCAAAGUCUUGAGAAGAGAAGAGAAGAAAGAGCGACACUGAGGAAUCUUACUUUGGUGAUACGGACUGUAAGAGCCAUUAUGAUACAUUUCGAGAAAUCCAAGUACUGUACAACUCGGAGGGACUCCACUACAGUUCAG
ensembl:lncRNA